rnacentral:rRNA from 1 species
AUGCUGUCUGUGAGCUCGCCGAGGAUGCACAUGAGCCGGAACGCCGUGGAUUUGGGCCUGCUGGCCGCCUGCCGCUGCCGCCGCUGGGCCGCGCGCCCGGCGCCCAGGCGGCGCGCGCCAUGUGUUUGUUUCGUGGCCGCACCCAGCCAGACAGGUCUCGCGGCGAUCGACGUGCCGGCGGCUGAGACCAUUGCCAGCGCGGCGGCCGGGGCGGCGAGGCUCCCCGAGCGCGUGUCCAUCGCUUCGCUCUUGGAUGUCGUCUCGGAUGACCUGCUCAAGCUCAACAACAACCUCAAAUCGCUUAUUGGUGCAGAAAAUCCAGUUUUAGUAUCUGCCGCAGAACAAAUUUUUGGUGCUGGUGGAAAGAGAUUAAGACCAGCAUUGGUUUUUCUGGUGUCCAGAGCAACAGCGGAAGUAGCUGGCUUGUCGGAGCUAACUACAGAACAUAAACGCUUGGCAGAGAUCAUAGAAAUGAUUCACACUGCGAGUUUAAUACAUGAUGAUGUCAUAGAUGAUAGUGGAAUGCGCAGAGGGAAAGAAACCAUCCAUCAGCUGUACGGAACACGGAUAGCGGUGCUUGCUGGCGAUUUUAUGUUUGCACAAUCUUCUUGGUUUCUCGCAAACCUAGAGAACAUUGAGGUUAUAAAGCUCAUCAGCCAGGUGAUCAAGGACUUUGCUAGUGGGGAGAUAAAGCAGCAAUCGACCCUGUUCGACUGCGACGUCACCCUGGACGACUACCUGCUCAAGAGCUACUACAAGACGGCCUCCCUGCUCGCUUCAAGCACGAGGUCCGCGGCCAUAUUCAGCGGGGUGAGCACCGCAGUAUGCGAGCAGAUGUACGAGUACGGCAGGAACCUGGGGCUGUCGUUCCAGGUGGUGGACGACAUCCUCGACUUCACGCAGUCGGCGGAGCAGCUGGGCAAGCCGGCGGGGAGCGACCUGGCCAAGGGGAACCUGACGGCCCCGGUCAUCUUCGCGCUGCAGGAGUCGCCGGAGCUGAGGGAGAUCAUCGACUCGGAGUUCUGCGACACGGGCUCGCUGUCGGCUGCCAUGGAGCUGGUACAUAAAAGCGGCGGGAUACGGCGGGCGCAGGAGCUGGCCAAGGAGAAGGGCGACCUGGCGCUGCAGAACCUGCAGUGCCUCCCCAGGAGCCAUUUCAGGACCGCCCUUGAGAACAUGGUGAAGUACAACCUUGAGAGGAUCGACUAG